UACGAAGGGGGCUAGCGGUGUUCGGAAUAACUGGGCGUAAAGCGCAUGUAGGCGGAUGUUUAAGUCAGAGGUGAAAUCCCAGGGCUCAACCCCGGCAUUGCCUUUGAUACUGGAGAUCUGGAGUCUGGGAGAGGUGAGUGGAAUUCCGAGUGUAGAGGUGAAAUUCGUAGAUAUUCGGAGGAACACCAGUGGCGAAGGCGGCUCACUGGCCCGAGACUGACGCUGAGAUGCGAAAGCGUGGGGAGCAAACAGG
rnacentral:rRNA from 1 species